rnacentral:rRNA from 2 species
UGGGGAAUAUUGGGCAAUGGGGGCAACCCUGACCCAGCAACGCCGCGUGAAGGAUGAAGGUUUUCGGAUUGUAAACUUCUUUGAUCGGGGACGAAAAUGACGGUACCCGAGGAACAAGCCACGGCUAACUACGUGCCAGCAGCCGCGGUAAUACGUAGGUGGCAAGCGUUGUCCGGAAUUACUGGGUGUAAAGGGCGUGUAGGCGGGAAGGCAAGUCAGAUGUGAAAUCCCAGGGCUUAACUCUGGAGCUGCAUCUGAAACUGUUUUUCUUGAGUACUGGAGAGGAAAGUGGAAUUCCUAGUGUAGCGGUGAAAUGCGUAGAGAUUAGGAGGAACACCUGUGGCGAAGGCGGCUUUCUGGACAGUAACUGACGCUGAGGCGCGAAAGCGUGGGGAGCAAACAGG